GACGUAGGGCGCGAGCGUUGUCCGGAUUUAUUGGGCGUAAAGAGCUCGUAGGCGGCUUGUCGCGUCGGCUGUGAAAACCCGCGGCUCAACUGUGGGCGGGCAGCUGAUACGGGCAGGCUGGAGUUCGGUAGGGGAGACUGGAAUUCCUGGUGUAGCGGUGAAAUGCGCAGAUAUCAGGAGGAACACCGGUGGCGAAGGCGGCAUCCUGGACCAACACUGACACUGAGGAGCGAAAGCCAGGGGAGCAAACGGG
rnacentral:rRNA from 1 species